GUCGAAGGUAGGAGCAGAAAGCGGUGCUAGUGUUAGUUCUGGCCCGUUUGGACCCAAACUAAAGUGUAUCAGUAUGAAGCAGGCGGUGACGGCGCACUGAUUCACUCUCGGAGCUCGGUUCACUAAUGACCGAAUCACCGAGGAACCGACCAACGAUAAUUCACACCCGCACGGAGAAGAAGAACAAGAGGAGGAGAAGAUGAGCUGGAGUGGGGCAAAGAGAACUGCAUUCAGAUCAAACGGAUACAAGAGAGGUGGCCGAGUUGUUUGAGGAUCUGAAGAAUUGAGUGUCACAAUUCAACAUGCACAUCAGUGAAACUUUUCCCUCUGACUACACCAGCACGCACGCACAGAAAUUCAUAGUGCAGGUGGCGAUUGCAGGCGCAUUUUAUCUGAACUGCUUCCUCCAGGGAACUGUGGACGAGGAGCUCGCCUCCAAGGAACUCUAUGGAAACGACCCCAGGACCACCAUAGUGGUAUUCAGUCAGCUUCCAUUUAACUAGGGGAUUAUUAUUAUUAUUAUUAUUAUUAUUAAUAAUAUUUCUCUCUCUCCCUCCCUCUCUCUCUCUCUCAGGUGUGUAAUCUCCCUCCAUUUGCGUUCCUCUACCAUAAACAGCUCCAGUCUCUCUUCAGACACUGUGGUUAAAUCAAAUCCAUCUCCUUUGACAGCUCCAGGGCCUAUGUAGAGUUCUACCGCUCGUCAAUGAGAGGUUCUGGCGUUCUCCCAGAGGUCUCUCUGUCUCUCCUCCUCACGCAGCAGAGACUUCCUCUCCAUCUCAACGUUUAACCCACUGGAGAGGUGGAGACUUGGGCAGGGGGGUAGUGUAUCUCACACCUCAGAUAUACACGGGUGAAUGUGGAUUUUCAGAAUCAGUCAGUGAGCCCUGUCGGGGUUCUGAGCAGCUCCAUUGAGUUGGAGAAUCUUCCGUCUAACCCUGUCUUUAUCGUCAAUAUCACCGAGGUGUCUGUUCCGCCUCUUUCACUUUCAGUGCACAAAUAAAAAAGAAGCAGUGGCUCCUGUGUGUGUGUGUGUGUGUGUGUGUGUGUGCACUAACAGGAGGUCCAGGUGCAGCCUUUGGAUAUUGAUGAAGAUUUACUGCCCCUGCAAGACCUUCCUCAACUGCGUAGUCUGGAGCAAAGGAUGCAACAGAGCCCAGAUUACAAGCAAAAUCUGGUAAACUGGUUGGCGCUUAUUGACGGGGUGUAUGUGCGUGACUGCACCUGGCGCAUAUUGAAGAGGGUGAUUGCUAACUCCCUGGCAAAGAAUCUCAAUUGGAGGGGAGUCAAUGGAAAGACUUCACUGUCCGCUCUCCAACUCGGAGAGGUCGUGAUUGUGAGUGGGGGCCACGCUGCUGAAGCGCACUUUGUGACUCACGAUGAAGUCGUACCUGACAAAUCAAGCCGCCAGCGUUUAAAACACACCGAACGCAACCUGAAGCUGCCACAGAAAGACCGCCAGAGAAAGAGAAAAAGAUCGAUGAACUACGCCUGAACACACCACUCGGGUCACGUGACUUCGGCGUCGAUGACCGUUCCGGGAGGAGGGUUGCUCAGUCAACGAUUUUCAUUAUCGAUUUUCAUCAACUAUUAUGGAUUAGAUGUUGCAGCUCUAUUUGCAACACAUUAUACUAAGCAUUGUGUGGUAUUUGAAGAUGUUUGUUCAAGGUAAUGCAGUUAAUACCCAUUGCAGUUCUUUAUACUUCGGGGUUAUUACUCAGAUUAUAAAUGUAUUUGAGUGAGGACAUUUAUCACCUGUGUGCUUUUUCUGCAUUGUUAUUAGCAUAUGUACUGUAUGAUUUAGUAAAAUAAUCAUAAGCCAUUACGUUGUUAUUCUGAUUACUCUGGGUGUGUGUGUGUGUGUGUGUGUGUGUGUGUGUGUGUGUGUGUGUGUGUUCAUGCUCUUGGGUGUGUGUGCUGUGUGCUGCACUUCCUCUUUUUGGUCAGGCCCUAGGCCUUGCUGUAGUUAACUUUUAAGAGACAUUGUCUAUAAGGAAGAGAGUGUGACUCUGUUCUUUCCCUUAUUCUCAAUAAAUUCUCAUUCUCCAUAUUUUAUUGCCCUUGUGUUUUAUUUCUAUCAAAAAUCUUCUCCAACACUGAUAACAAUCGGUCUGAUGAGACCUGAGCCAGGAGAGGACCGUUCCCUUAAUGCCAACAACAUUUUCUAAUCUAUCUAGCGCAGAGGUGCCCAAACUUUUUCCUGUGAAGGGCCAAGUUUGGCCCGCAGGCCCUAGUUUGGGCACCUCUGAUCUAGCGUGUAGCGGAGCGUUGAUUCGGUCACCUGAUCGAGUUCUAUCGGAUCAGACGGUGAUCCAAAUCUAACUGAUGUCUGUGCGAGGUUAUUGAUGAAGCUCGGUGCAGUAGCUGAUGUGAAAGUACAUUUUAUGCGGUGGCGAGGUGGAAAUAUGAUCCAUACGUAUCAUGAACG